AUUGAACGCUGGCGACAGGCCUAACACAUGCAAGUCGAACGAGUGGCGGACGGGUGAGUAAUGUCUGGGAAACUGCCCGAUGGAGGGGGAUAACUACUGGAAACAGUAGCUAAUACCGCAUACCAUCGGAUGUGCCCAGAUGGGAUUAGCUAGUAGGUGGGGUAACGGCUCACCUAGGCGACGAUCCCUAGCUGGUCUGAGAGGAUGACCAGCCACACUGGACUGGAGACACGGUCCGGAGUCUUAGGGAAGGCAGCAGGGGGGAAUAUGGCAAAAUGGGCGCAAGCCUGAUGCAGCCAUGUCGCGUGUAUGAAGAAGGCCUUCGUGUUGUAAAGUACUUUCAGCGAGGAGGCGUUACUCGCAGAAGAUGCACCGGCUAACUCCGUGCCAGCAGCCGCGGUAAUAC
rnacentral:rRNA from 1 species